ACGCUGGCGGUAGGCUAACACAUGCAAGUCGAACGGCAGCACAGGAGAGCUUGCUCUCUGGGUGGCGAGUGGCGGACGGGUGAGGAAUACAUCGGAAUCUACUUUUUCGUGGGGGAUAACGUAGGGAAACUUACGCUAAUACCGCAUACGACCUACGGGUGAAAGCAGGGGAUCUUCGGACCUUGCGCGAUUGUAUGAGCCGAUGUCGGAUUAGCUAGUUGGCGGGGUAAAGGCCCACCAAGGCGACGAUCCGUAGCUGGUCUGAGAGGAUGAUCAGCCACACUGGAACUGAGACACGGUCCAGACUCCUACGGGAGGCAGCAGUGGGGAAUAUUGGACAAUGGGCGCAAGCCUGAUCCAGCCAUACCGCGUGGGUGAAGAAGGCCUUCGGGUUGUAAAGCCCUUUUGUUGGGAAAGAAAUCCAGCUGGCUAAUACCCGGUUGGGAUGACGGUACCCAAAGAAUAAGCACCGGCUAACUUCGUGCCAGCAGCCGCGGUAAUACGAAGGGUGCAAGCGUUACUCGGAAUUACUGGGCGUAAAGCGUGCGUAGGUGGUCGUUUAAGUCCGUUGUGAAAGCCCUGGGCUCAACCUGGGAACUGCAGUGGAUACUGGACGACUAGAGUGUGGUAGAGGGUAGCGGAAUUCCUGGUGUAGCAGUGAAAUGCGUAGAGAUCAGGAGGAACAUCCAUGGCGAAGGCAGCUACCUGGACCAACACUGACACUGAGGCACGAAAGCGUGGGGAGCAAACAGGAUUAGAUAUCCUGGUAGUCCACGCCCUAAACGAUGCGAACUGGAUGUUGGGUGCAAUUUGGUACGCAGUAUCGAAGCUAACGCGUUAAGUUCGC
rnacentral:rRNA from 1 species